GUUUGGGGGAAGCAAGGGACACUGAUGUUUAUCCCCCAAAAAGUUAUCUGCUUCUGCUGAGGGAUGAAGAGCCCCAGUCCUGCUGCUUGGAGCUCAUAAAAGAUGGUGUAGAGAGCCUGCCUUGUGUCUGGGGAGAUGGUCUGGAGCUUGCCUACUGGCUGUUGAUAUUGAACCCUCCAGGGGGACUGUAGCCUGGCUGGAUCUCUCUGUACCCCUGCAGCCCCCUGCCCCAGUGCUGUGACCAUGCUACAGUGGGAGACCUCUCUGGUGCUAAGGAUCUUGUAGCACCAUGCUCACACUUUGAGCUGGUGUGGCACCCCCCCAUCCUUUUUGUCUGAGAGCUGAAGCUGCCACUGGACUUGGACUCAGAUGGCAGGAGCAGGCAGGCACUCCCGGGAAAUGACACACUGUGCAUGACGGGAAUCGCGGAUCACAGCAGACACUGGCGAGGGAAGAGGCUGCUCCUCGCCCUGCUGUCCCCAGCGGAGGGAGGCCAUGGCACUACACCUGUGACUCCCCUCCACGUGGCACCUCUCCCCUGUAAGAGUGGAUGUAAAAGUU